AUCAAAGUAGUUAAAAAUAUAACUUUAAUUUGUGACAUUAAAAUUAUCAGUUAAAACCUGAUCUAAGAUC
rnacentral:tRNA from 1 species